rnacentral:rRNA from 1 species
UACGGAGGGUGCGAGCGUUGUCCGGAAUCACUGGGCGUAAAGGGCGCGUAGGCGGCCUGAUAAGUAGGGGGUGAAAUCCUGCGGCUUAACCGCAGGGCUGCCUUCUAAACUGUCAGGCUAGAGCACAGUAGAGGCAGGUGGAAUUCCCGGUGUAGCGGUGGAAUGCGUAGAGAUCGGGAAGAACAUCAGUGGCGAAGGCGGCCUGCUGGGCUGUUGCUGACGCUGAGGCGCGACAGCAUGGGGAGCGAACGGG